AACCGCCUUCCGUAGCCGGAGGAGAACGCAAGGGGGGUCAAAGACCACCGAGGCUCGGGUUCGACACCCGGUCGGCGGCCCCGAAUACGGAUGGCGGUU
rnacentral:misc_RNA from 2 species